UGGGGAAUAUUGGACAAUGGGGGAAACCCUGAUCCAGCAAUGCCGCGUGAGUGAAGAAGGCCCUAGGGUUGUAAAGCUCUUUCACCCGUGAAGAUGAUGACGGUAGCGGGAGAAGAAGCCCCGGCUAACUCCGUGCCAGCAGCCGCGGUAAUACGGAGGGGGCUAGCGUUGUUCGGAAUUACUGGGCGUAAAGCGCACGUAGGCGGCGCGUCAAGUCAGAGGUGAAAGGCCUGGGCUCAACCUAGGAACUGCCUUUGAUACUGGCGUGCUUGAGUCCGGGAGAGGGUGACGGAAUUCCCAGUGUAGAGGUGAAAUUCGUAGAUAUUGGGAAGAACACCGGUGGCGAAGGCGGUCACCUGGCCCGGUACUGACGCUGAGGUGCGAAAGCGUGGGGAGCAAACAGGAUUAGAUACCCCCGUAGUCC
rnacentral:rRNA from 1 species